GCGGAGGCGGCGCGCGGCGCGACCCAGAGGCGACGGCGAUGGCACGGCUCUCUCCCCUCCGGCCGCCACCUUCUCUUCCAAAGCUAAGGUUAGGGUUUUCUUCUCUUCUCCUUUUCCCAUCGUCGCCGCCAUCUCUCUUCUCGCCGUGCGGCUUUCUCUCUCGUGAGCACAGCACGUCGCGGUCUCCGCGCUUCCCUCCUCCCCUUCCUUCCUUCGGCUGGGCCCGGGCAGGUGUGUGAGCGCUCAGCUCCGUACCGGCGAUUCGUCGUCCUCCUCGUAUCCUGCUUGAUCUGGUGAGUUCUUGGUUGGGUGGGGAUGGGUGCUCUGCUCGAUCGAUCCCGUGUGUUCUUCUCGUAAAGAUUCGUGCGCGUAGAGUUAUUCAGCCGCUCGUAUACUUUUGGUGCUCGUAGGUUCUUCUCCUCCAUGGAUAAAAGAGGUUUGUGUUAGUGCCUUUGGUAUCUGCUGUGUAUACUGUGAUAGCUGUAGUAUUGUGUUUGAGUCCAAGUAUUGGUAGCAGUGUCCGGAUAGGUGUCAAAUUGGUUGGUGUUUUUGGAGAUUUUAAGAUGUUCCUCGCUAAAACAAUGAAACUGGGGAAGAUUUGUUUCUUGGCUCAUACAGGGGAUAUUUGCAUGCUGAAGUCCGGUCAAACGACCAAAUUUGCUUCUUCCCUUUUAUUGCAUUGAUCCAAGUGUGACUGCAGUUUUGUUCACAAGAAAUCCAAGCGUGCCUGAUCUAAGUUCCUGUUUAAGUCUGGUAAUAUGUACGGAUUUUAACUUGAUGUUCUUGUUUUGUUUUGAGAUAUUGUGCAGAAAAAUGGAAGUUUCAUAACAGUAUUUACGAUGGUUAGUUCUAUCACAAGUUUUAUUUUCACAACUUUAGAUUUGAGCAUUAUGUCACUGUAAGCAGGUCAUGUUUCUAAUCAGCACCACAGAGGGUUUUUUUUAAUGCAUUUACAGAGUAUCAUGAUUCUUUAUGGAAUUGAUCCAAAUGCUGUUCCAUUUUGUUUUCAGAGAUGGGGAACACUGUAGCUGGGCGACUGAAGCUCAUGGUGGCAUUAGUGCUAUAGCUUAAACACUUGCAUCGUUUUGUAAUUUAGUUCUUAGUUAAUUAAUCAAUUAUUAGUUCAGCAUUGUGCAAAUAGCUAGCAGGCAAAAAGGAUGGUUUGGACACAGACGGCAAAAAGGACUGUUUAUUGCUCGGUCUUGUUUGUAAAUUGUGAUCAAGAUGCCAGCUAAUCGGUGCAAGUUGCCGGAGUUGAUUAGCUAUAGAUAUGCAUCAGAUUUCAUUGCAUUAUUUUCCGUUAGUCUAUAUUUUUUCGCUUCCAUUUUUCGGCGCCGCUUGGAGCCUGGACGUAUAAUCAAUUUCUAAUAUUCUCUUAUUGAUCUAAAUGGGCCUAAAUGUACAUGGUUCAAGUAGGAAAAGGAAAAAGUACACCCAAUGUCCCUCAACUUGUCGUCGGGAUAAAAAACAUCCUCGAACCGCAAAACCAGAUAUACGGAGUCCCUUAACUAUACAAAACCGGUCACCCGAGGUCCUUCGGUGGUUUUGACAACGGUUUUGGUCUAUGUGACGGCUAAGUCAGUGUGGGACCCACGUAGGCCCCACAUGUCAGUUGGCCACGUCAUCACCUUCUCACUUCCUCAGAGUUCCUCUCCCUUUCUCCUCUCUAUCUCUCUCUCUCUCAC
rnacentral:lncRNA from 1 species